UACAGAGGUGGCAAGCGUUGUUCGGAAUUACUGGGCGUAAAGGGCGCGUAGGCGGUCUUGUAAGUCUUGUGUGAAAUCCCUCGGCUUAACUGAGGAACUGCACGGGAUACUGCAUGACUUGAGAUCGGGAGAGGGAAGCGGAAUUCCGGGUGUAGCGGUGAAAUGCGUAGAUAUCUGGAGGAAUACCGGUGGCGAAGGCGGCAUCCUGGACCGAGAUUGACGCUGAGGCGCGAAAGCGUGGGGAGCAAACAGG
rnacentral:rRNA from 1 species